rnacentral:lncRNA from 1 species
ACUGCUUAAGCUUUGUUUUGGCAACCCCCCGACCCAAAGUUGCUUAUAGGCUGUUCUUCACCUUGUUUCCAAGGCUGCAGAGCAGAAAGUAGCCUCUGUUUUGAGGAGGUGGAGUUAAGUAUACAUUUAUUUUUUACUGUGAUUUGUUCAGGACCACAUUUUACAAAAUGCCUAGUUCCCUUUAUUGUUUCUGGAAAGGAAAGUUCUAUUAAAAUUGUUUAAGUAUGAACAUAGAAUAGUUUUUUUUUUUUUUUAAUUAUGGCUUACUUUGAAAAUUUUUGAGUUUAAUUCAAAUGUAUGCCAAUAUCUUCCAAAGUAAGGUAAUAUUCAGAGACAGUUGUUCUGAUCAGAUGUCUUAGAGAAAUUUCUAGAAUAUUCACAUUCGAAGAUUCCUUAUUAAUGAAUGUCUGACUUAAAUCUAACCAAAAACUGCAACAUUACUCUUUGUACAU